rnacentral:rRNA from 1 species
UACGGAGGGUGCGAGCGUUGUCCGGAACCACUGGGCGUAAAGGGAGCGUAGGCGGGUUUUUAAGUCAGGUGUUUAAUCCCGGGGCCCAACCCCGGACAGGCACUUGAAACUGGGAAUCUUGAAUAGGGGAGAGGUCGGUGGAAUUGGAGGUGUAGCGGUGGAAUGCGUAGAGAUCUCCAAGAACACCCGUUGCGAAGGCGGCCGACUGGACCCAUAUUGACGCUGAGGCUCGAAAGCAUGGGGAGCAAACAGG